CAAACCCACCACAAAUAUAGAUAACUCUAUGUCUAUAUGGACAGAGUCUCUCCUUCAUUUGCACGGCGUUGCACAUCAUACAAGUUACAACCACAUCCAUUCACAACAGACAAUCACAAGUACCUUCAUACAUUCACAUCUAUCAGUUGAAAACGUUUCCCACCCGAAAACUUAUCUUGAAAUACUAAAAUCACGAAAAGCUGUAAAAUCUUUUUGAAAAAUUAUUUUUCAUAUGAAAACCUUUUAUCUUUUAAAGCGAGCUACCACGU
rnacentral:lncRNA from 1 species